rnacentral:lncRNA from 1 species
GGCAAUUAAUAUUUCAUCAGGAUCUAUACCAAUCAAAUAAUUAUGUAAAAUGCAGCAUGCUAUACCAUUUCGGUAACUGUAUCAACUGAAAAUUAAGAUUCUAUCAUGUCUGAAAUUAUGGCAAAUCUUUUUCUUCAACACACCAAAUGCUCUUUCAAUAACAUUACAUAAUAAAGAAUGCCGUAAAUUAAAUAAUUCUUCAGGAUUCUCUAAAGAAUAUUCUGAGUACUCUUUCAAGUGAUAA